CCAGGUGAACCUUGAUUGCAGGUUGUAAAAAACCUGAGCAGGACCCAGUGAAGCCAUGUGGCUCCCGUGGGUGGCUCCAUGUGGGUGGCUCCCGACUCACAGAAGCUACACCAUAAUAAGUGGACCCUGUGGAUAUGAUAGUGUGGAAGUGAUUCUUCAACUUCCUGUCUCCAGGAAUGCCUGCGCUUGGAACCCAUCCCCUGUGCCACAAGGAAGUCAGUGGAGAGGCCUACAUGAGCAGGACCUGAUGCCCCAUCUCAGCUGAGCUCCAAGAAGCCAAGCCCAAGUCGACCUCACUCUUUCUAGUGGACUGCAGUCCAGCAGGUCAGUAAUGAAGGAUGCUCUGCUUAUCUCCGUUCCCCAACCUUGAGAGUCCACUCUUCCUGAAGCACAACUGGGACCAGCCUCUUCGUUAAAAAGCAAAAACUAAACCAA